UACAGAGGGUGCAAGCGUUAAUCGGAAUUACUGGGCGUAAAGCGCGCGUAGGUGGAUAAGCAAGUUGGAUGUGAAAGCCCUGGGCUCAACCUGGGAACUGCAUUCAAAACUAUUUAUCUAGAGUACAGGAGAGGGAAGUGGAAUUUCCGGUGUAGUGGUGAAAUACGUAGAUAUCGGAAGGAACACCAAUGGCGAAGGCAACUUCCUGGACUGAUACUGACACUGAGGCGCGAAAGCGUGGGGAGCAAACAGG
rnacentral:rRNA from 1 species